rnacentral:misc_RNA from 1 species
GAUGAAGAACGCAGCAAAAUGCGAUACUUGGUGUGAAUUGCAGAAUCCCGUGAACCAUCGAGUUUUUGAACGCAAGUUGCGCCCGAAGCCUUUUGGCCGAGGGCACGUCUGCCUGGGCGUCACGCAUCGCGUCGCCCCCCCCAAUUCUCCGUAAAGGGAACAUGUGUUUUGGGGGCGGAUAUUGGUCUCCCGUGCUCAUGGCGUGGUUGGCCGAAAUAGGAGUCCUUUCGAUGGACGCACGAACUAGUGGUGGUCGUAAAAACCCUCGUCUUUUGUUUCGUGCUGUUGCUCGCAAGGUAAACUCUUUAAAAACCCCAAUGUGUCGUCUCUUGACGACGCUUCGACCGCGACCCCAGGUCAGGCGGGACUACCCGCUGAGUUUAAGCAUAUCAAUAAGCGGAGGA